rnacentral:rRNA from 1 species
UACGUAGGGGGCAAGCGUUGUCCGGAUUUAUUGGGCGUAAAGAGCGUGUAGGCGGCCUGGAAGGUCAGCUGUGAAAACUCGAGGCUCAACCUCGAGACGUCGGUUGAAACCACCUGGCUAGAGUCCGGAAGAGGAGUGUGGAAUUCCCGGUGUAGCGGUGAAAUGCGCAGAUAUCGGGAAGAACACCCGUGGCGAAGGCGGUUCUCUGGGACGGUACUGACGCUGAGACGCGAAAGCGUGGGGAGCGAACAGG